GACGAACGCUGGCGGCGUGCUUAACACAUGCAAGUCGAACGAUGAAGCCAGCUUGCUGGUGGAUUAGUGGCGAACGGGUGAGUAACACGUGGGUGAUCUGCCCCAAACUUUGGGAUAAGCCUGGGAAACUGGGUCUAAUACCGAAUAUGACCGAUACUCGCAUGGGUGUGGGUGGAAAGCUCCGGCGGUUUGGGAUGGGCCCGCGGCCUAUCAGCUUGUUGGUGGGGUAAUGGCCUACCAAGGCGACGACGGGUAGCCGGCCUGAGAGGGCGACCGGCCACACUGGGACUGAGACACGGCCCAGACUCCUACGGGAGGCAGCAGUGGGGAAUAUUGCACAAUGGGCGCAAGCCUGAUGCAGCGACGCCGCGUGAGGGAUGACGGCCUUCGGGUUGUAAACCUCUUUCACCAGGGACGAAGCGAAAGUGACGGUACCUGGAGAAGAAGCACCGGCCAACUACGUG
rnacentral:rRNA from 1 species